GCUGGAAUCGCUAGUAAUCGCGGAUCAGCACGCCGCGGUGAAUACGUUCCCGGGCCUUGUACACACCGCCCGUCACACCAUGGGAGUCGGAAAUGCCCGAAGCCGGUGACCCAACCCGAAAGGGAGGGAGCCGUCGAAGGCAGGUCGGAUGACUGGGGUGAAGUCGUAACAAGGUACC
rnacentral:rRNA from 1 species